rnacentral:rRNA from 1 species
AUUCUUGAUUUAUAGAGAUUAAUAUUGAUUUUGUAUUCAAAAAUUGGCUUUUUUGAUAAUUUUAUAUGUAAGGUUUUUUGCGUAGUAAAGUUAUCUAAAGGAUAAAUUUAUUAUUAUUUGCAGUUUUUAGGAUUAGUUUAUUAUAUAAAUAUAGAACUAGUUAAUUUAAUUAGAUUUGUUAAAAUUUGUGCCAGCAAACGCGGUUAUACAAUUAAUUCAAGUUAAUUUUUUUGGUUAUAUUAAUUUUUAUUUUUGGAAAUUUAAUUUUUAUUUGUUAAGUGAAAUUUUAAUUUUUUAUAUAAUUUCUUGGUUUAAGAUUAUAAGAAAAUUAGGAUUAAAACUAGGAUUAGAUACCCUAUUAUUCUAAUUGUAAAUUUUUGACCAUAAUAUUAAUAGAUAUGAUCUUUAAAUUAAAAAAAUUUGGCGGUAAUUUAGUCCUUUCAGAGGAACCUGUCCUUUAAUCGAUAAUCCACGUUAUAUUUUACUUUAAUUCUUGUUUAUAUACCUCUGUCAUUGAAUGUUUUAUUAGAAUAUUUACUUUUAUUAUUAAUUUAUGUAAUGUCAGGUUAACGGACAU